UACAAUACCUAUCAAGUAUCAGACGCAGCCCAUUGCGCUUGACUUUAGCAAAUUGUAUUUCUCUUCCACAAUGUUGAAAGACACCGUAAGUUCGACAUUUACUCCGAAGAUUAAAAGAAAAUAUCUUGACGUUGAUGUGGAAUAUUUAUACCAAGUUAGGCUAAAUAGCAGUCACGUUUUCACACCUGCAUCUUUUAAGAUAAUCUUAAAUACAAUGAUGAAACGGACACUAUUUCACAAUGCAACUUUAACCUCAAACCAGCAGGUUAUGAUACAAGGAAAGAGACAUGAAAUCUUUAACUACUUCUCUCUUAUAUCUCCUACUCUGUGUCAAUCUCCUGCCCAACUUCACUGCUUCCCAAAUCCUUUUUCAGGGGUUCAAUUGGGAAUCAUGGAAGACGGAAGGAGGAUGGUACAACUCUUUAAGGAAGUCCAUACCUGAACUAGCUUCUUCUGGAAUUACACAUGUUUGGCUUCCUCCACCUUCUCAGGCUGCUU